rnacentral:misc_RNA from 1 species
GGCCAAAUUGCCUCCAUCACCCUGCAGCAGAUAAAUGUAAAUUACUGUUUGAUUUAUCCUAGAAGAAAUAAGCUGAGUUUGACACUAAUAGUUAGGCAUGCAUAUAAAGUUUAUCAUUCUGGCCAUACUAUGCACUAGAAAUCAUAUAAAAUCUUCAGACCAAUAGAGGCCAUAAGAAAUAAAGAGCAUAUUGUCAUGUUGCAAAUGCAGAUUACUAAUGCAUAGGGAGAACCUAUUUACUUCAAUUACAUGAUGCAAUAACAUAUUUGUGUACAUUUUUGCAGUUGUGUAUUUAAAUAUCUAAUAAUUGAUUCUUCUUCUUCUUUCUUUGACAGUUUCUGAAUUGAAUUCUUCUGCUUUUAAUUUUUCUUUGUUUGGUUUCUUCUUUAUUAUACUUCGAUUUGCAGGGGGAUUAAGAGAGAUGAGUUAUAGACAAGGGAGAAAGAGAAUGGGAGCCAAUCCUAGGGAAUGGGGAGAGAGGAAGGGUCGGGAUGGGGGGCUAUCAGAUUUUUAUUUUUUUUUCAAACAUAAAUUUAUGAUUUUUUUUAUUUUAUUUAGCAUUUACAAGUAUUUACAUUUCUUUUUGUUUUUCUUCACCAAUCAAUGACGGCCAAGUCCCUCUCAAUUGUUUUAAAAUUUACAGAAUUCUUACAUUGGAGAGGAAUUUAAAAGUUAAAACAUAAGAGCUUCAGUUGCAAGAAUUUUGCAGAUUGGGGUAUAAUUUGAAAAUAAUUUUGUGAUUUUCCUUAAUAAUUUAGCAUAUAUGAACAUAAACUGACCUUUUCUAGUAAUUUUCCAUCAGCAAGUUGCAAUUUCUGCUCAAGCUCCUUGACUUGCUUCUCUAGAAGUAUGAUUUCUUUUUCCCUAGCAUCAAGGUCUUCAAGGGAUUUCCUCAGAGCUGCUUCUCUUUCUAAAUCUUUUUGAGAAUUUCCCUCUUUCUGUUCGGUAAUGAUGCUUUGAGCAAGUUGUAAUUCACUCUGAAGCUUUAGAACUUGAUCAUUUAACAUAUCUCUAUCAUGGAUUUUCAGUACAUGAUCUUCUAGUUUCAAAGUUAACUCAGCUUCUCUUCCAGCAGCAGAUGCCUGAAUGUUUUCAACCUCUUCUUUCAGACGGGCCUCUGCUGUUGCCAAUUUUUCUUCAACUUCCUUGAGACGGUUUUGCAAUGCUGACUUCUCCACAAUCUCCAUCUUGAGAUUUUCAAUCUCAGAUUUUAGGGCAUCUUCAUUUGCUUUCUUCUCUUCACACUGGAUGAUCACUGACUGAAGUUCCUUCUUUACAUUUUGAUAAGAUUCAUUAAGAAGGUUGUUCUCUUCCAUAAAUGAAGAUAUCUGAGACUGUAGUCUCUGUCCUUCAUCAUUAAGAUGCUGAGUUAAAUUUUCUAUAGCCUUCUUUGAUGUGUGAAGCUGUUCUACUGUUUCAUCCUUCUCCAAAUUGGUUGCAGACAGUUUUGCCUCUAGAUCACUCAGUUUGGACUCAUAUGAGGAUAGUUCCUGAGUAAGCUUCAAAUUUGCCUCUGCUAACCCUGUACUCUCUUUUUCAAAGUGACUUGACCUGUUUUGCAGUUCCUCAACAAUACUUUCAAAGUGUUUCAAUUUCAGACAAGUCUCUUCCAGCUCAAGUUUUCGAGUUUCGGCUAUUGCAGAUGCUUCAUGAGCCUGUUCUUCACAGAAUUUCUUUUGGCCUUCAAGUGCAUUUAGCUUCACGUUCAAAUUGUUUGUUUCUUCAUCUUUCUGAGUUAGUCUCUGAAUGGCCUCUUGUAACUGUGUCUCCACAUGAACCAUCCGGGUCUCAGUUUCUGAAUGAAGUUCUAGAGCCCUUGAGUGCCUGUCUGAUAAUUCUGUAAUAGUGUUCAUGUGUGAAGCAAUUUGUUGACACGAGGCUUCCUUCUCAGAAACAGCAGAAUUUAGAAAUUCCUGAAGUUCAUUGACCUUGCUUUUGAGCUGAUUGUUUGUCUCAACUAAGAGUUCCUUUUCUGAGGAAGAGUUAGAAGCUCUAUUUUCUGCUUCCAAUAUCUGUUUUUUAAGUUCUUCAUUUGAGGCUUCCAAAGAAGCCACUUUUAGCAAACACAAAUCCAAUUCUUCCUUCAAAGAUGCAGAUUUUCCAGCUGCUUCAGCUACCUGCUCCUCGUAUAACUUCACUUGGUCUUCAAGAGUCUUCAGUUUGUCAACGAGGAAUUUUACCUCAGAAUCCUUGCUCGUGAAGUUUUCUAUAGCUUCUUGAAGUUUGAGUUCCGAAUCCCUUGCCAGUGAUUCAUGUAAUGAUUCAAGUUCAGACUUACUAACAAUAGCCUGCUCUAAUAAUUUUUCUUGUGUCUCUAGUUGUUCCUCAGUAGCCUUGAGCUUUGCCAUUACUUCACUCUCUUUUAAUCCAGCAGCCUUUAGAUCAUUUUCAAUGCACUCAAACUUCUCCUGCAUCACAGUUAAUUCGUUGCGCAGGACUUCCACAAGAUUCUCGGCUUCAGCCAGCAUCUGGCUGGAACCACUGGAUGCAUCUUCUAACCUUUUCUUUUCAUCAGUUACUGAAUUCAGGCAUUCUGCCAGUUCUCUCUCCUUUUCACUGGCUGUUUGCAGUGCAACUUCAAGGUUUGAUGACCUUGCUUGGAAUGCCUCAAUCUCAGCUGAAAGUUCAGAUACUUUGUUUAUGUAUUUGUUGGACUCUGCUUCUGCACCCACGCAUUUCUUUUCUAGUGUGCUAAUCUGAUCUUCAAGUUCCUGAAUUCUGUACUUCUCUGCUUCUAGUAACAACUCGAACUCAUUCACCUUUUUGCUGGCAUCUUCUACUUUGGAAUGAGAUGUCUGGAACAAAUCUUCAAGUUCAAGGCUGCGCUGAUGAUUCAUGUUUGCAUGGUCCUCAUGUUCAGCACACUUCACUGUAGCAAUCCUCAACUCUUCCUCAAGCUCUGCACUCCUUGAUGAUGACUGAUUUAGGGAAGAUUCAAGGUGGGUUAUCUUCUCCUGGUAUUCCUGUAUCAGGUCAGUCAAUUGUUUCUUUUCCUCCUCCAAUUCUUUCAAAGCAGCACUGAGAUCAGAUAUUUUCCGUGAGAAUUCUCUCACUUCUCUCUCAGCAUCACUGCUUCUUAAUUCAACUAAAUUCAGUUGUUUCUCAAGCUCCACAUUCCUCUGCUCUGCAGCGAUAAAUCGUGUCUCAAGCUCUCUAAGUUGGGAUUUUGCAUCUUCUGCUGCUUCAUUUGAAGCUUGGAUUGAAUCCUCAAGCUCCAGAUUUUUUUGGAUAGCAAAUGCUGCAGCAGCUCCAGAUUCAUUGUAAAGCUCUUCCAGAGGCUUCAAUUUUUGUUCUAGCUCUGCAUUGUUCGACAAAGCUUGAGACAAAAGAGAAUCUGCUUUAGAGAAAUUCUCAUCUGACACCUUCAACUUGUCUUCAAGAUCGCUGCAUAAUUCUUUCAUUUGUGCAGCAUUACUACUAAGAUCUGUUACAGUUGUUUCAAGAGCUUCUUUUUCUUUCGUUACUUUCGACAGUUCUUCAUGUAUAGCUGAGACCUGUUCCUCCUGGUUUUGCAUUGCUGCUUCAACCAAUUCCCUUGCAUUAACUUCCUCUUGCAGCUUCAACUUAUUGCCUUCUAACUCAGAAACCUUUGCAUGAAGAUCUUCUCUAGUUGAACUGAGCAAAUUCUCCAAUGCCAAGAUGUCUUCCUUCACCUGAGAUUCUGAAGCUUUCCUCAGGUCCAAUUCUUGUGUCAGUUCAUUUAUGAGAACCUCCUUUGAAGAGAGUCUUUGCUCCAUGUCCAGCAGUUGUGAUUUUGAAAGUGCCAAUUCUUCAUUAACUGCUACGAGUUCUGCUGUAGAGUUCUCAAGGGCUUCUUCAACUUUCUGGUUUUCUGCAAUCUUCUCAUAAAGGCCAUUGACUUCCUCUUGAAGCGAAGCCAUCUGUUCUUCCAUUUCUUUUGCACUUGCUUUUGCUUCUUCAAGCAGCCUUUCAAACUCCAAAGCCCUUUGUGUCUCAGAUUCAGCAUGUGAACCACUUUGUUUGUGCAACUCCUCAAACCUCUUUAACUCACCUUCAGAAAGUUGCAGCUUUUGCUCCAACUCUUGCAAACUCUUUCUAGAGUUCUCAACCUCAAUGCUAAGACCAUCAAAUGCUUCUUUUACCCCAGUCAAUUCCUUGUGCUUCAUUUCUUGUGCCUGCAGAGCCUUGUUCAAAGUGCAAAGCUGUGAACUAUAUUUCUCCUCAGCUUCAAAUAAUUGAUCUUGCAAUUUCUUGUGAUUCUGUUCAAUCUCCUCAUACUUCUUUUCACCAACCUCCAAGUUCUCCUUUGCAAGCAAGACCUCUUCUUUCAAUUUUGUAUUUUCUGAUUCAGAAUGCUUUAAUGCUUCAACUACUCUUACCAAUUCAAGUUCCAGUUCCUUCACCUUCUCUUGUGCUUCCAAUAAUUCUCUGGUUGAACUGCUUAAGCUCCUUUCUAUUGCUGAUGGCUUCUCGUCAUCCGCAGUCGCUGCCUUAGCUGUAUGAGAGGCAUCCUUCACAUCAAGCAAUUCCUUCUCUACUUUUAUGAAUUCUCCGUCAGUCUCAUCCUCGUCUUUCUUUCCUGCUUUUUCUAUUUGCGGCAAGUCUCCAUUUGUUGCCUUGAUAGGAUCGUCUUUCUCCUUGGUAUCUACCUUCAAUAUUUCUACCUCUGAAGCCAUUUGGGUCUCGUCUUCCAUUCUAAAUUUAUACCUCUGAAAUCUGAUAGAUCGAAAAUGGUUUUCCUUAGCUUUGAAGA